GAAGGGCUACAGCUCAGUGGUAGAACAUCUGUCUGGCAUGCAGAAUGUCCUAGCUUCAAUUCCUUGCACCUUCA